UCACAGCUGUAUCAAACUCUUCAGUCAAUCAGCUAUGGACAAAAAGUUGCUGCUGGUCCUGUUGUGUCUGCAGGCUUUCCUGCUCAUCACAGCCUUCACUUCUACAGAUGAAGCAGCUCUGGUGAUGGAUGAUGGACAACAGUCUCUUGAUCUGGAUGAAACUCCUGAAAAGGGAAAUGGAAAGUUAAUUCGGACCAGGAGAGACUGUAGGAGAAGACCAGGAGGAUGUAAAGGUCCACCCCGUUUCCUCUGAUGACCGUCACACCUCCAAAGAGUGAUUUAAUAUGAAGGAAACAACUUGAUUUCACUUGUGCACUUGAACAACAAAAGUUCAAAACAAGCUUUUCAGGAACUGCCGUGCUAUGUUGAGGAGUGGAAAUGAAUAUACUGAAUGUUUUUAUUGGACUUUCUGUGCAAACUGUUUAUUUAAAAAAUAAAGACUUAUAAUCAGA